GGUUAAGGACCCAGACCCUACUGAACAAGCCUGAUCCCGUCUGAUCUUGGAAGCUAAGCAGGGUCGGACCUGGUUAGUACUUGGAUGGGAGACGACCUAGGAAGAUCAGGAGCUAUAGACA
ensembl:rRNA 5S_rRNA 5S ribosomal RNA